GGCGGGAUGCCGGAGUGGACGAACGGGGCUGUCUUGAAAACAGCUGUACUCGAAAGAGUACCGUAGGUUCGAAUCCUACUCCCGCCG
rnacentral:tRNA from 1 species